rnacentral:rRNA from 1 species
UACGUAGGGUGCAAGCGGUAAUCGGAAUUACUGGGCGUAAAGCGUGCGCAGGCGGUGAUGUAAGACAGGUGUGAAAUCCCCGGGCUUAACCUGGGAACUGCAUUUGUGACUGCAUCGCUGGAGUGCGGCAGAGGGGGAUGGAAUUCCGCGUGUAGCAGUGAAAUGCGUAGAUAUGCGGAGGAACACCGAUGGCGAAGGCAAUCCCCUGGGCCUGCACUGACGCUCAUGCACGAAAGCGUGGGGAGCAAACAGG